UACGUAGGGGGCAAGCGUUGUCCGGAUUUAUUGGGCGUAAAGAGCGUGUAGGCGGCCAGGUAGGUCGGUUGUGAAAACUAGAGGCUCAACCUCUAGACGUCGACCGAAACCAUCUGGCUAGAGUCCGGAAGAGGAGAGUGGAAUUCCUGGUGUAGCGGUGAAAUGCGCAGAUAUCAGGAAGAACACCAGUGGCGAAGGCGGCUUCCUGGACCGACACUGACGCUGAGGCGCGAAAGCUAGGGGAGCAAACGGG
rnacentral:rRNA from 1 species